GAUGAACGCUGGCGGCGUGCCUAAUACAUGCAAGUCGAGCGAACAGACGAGGAGCUUGCUCCUCUGACGUUAGCGGCGGACGGGUGAGUAACACGUGGAUAACCUACCUAUAAGACUGGGAUAACCUCGGGAAACCGGAGCUAAUACCGGAUAAUAUAUUGAACCGCAUGGUUCAAUAGUGAAAGACGGUUUUGCUGUCACUUAUAGAUGGAUCCGCGCCGCAUUAGCUAGUUGGUAAGGUAACGGCUUACCAAGGCAACGAUGCGUAGCCGACCUGAUAGGCGGAUCGGCCACACUGGAACUUAGACACGGACCAGGCUCCUGCGGGAGGCAGCAGUAGGGAAUCGUCCGCAAUGGGCGGAAGCUUGACGGAGCAACGCCGCGUGAGUGAUGAAGGUCUUCGGAUCGUAAAACUCUGUUAUUAGGGAAAAACAAAUGUGUAAGUAACUAUGCACGUCUUGACGGUACCGGAUCAGGAAGCCACGGCUAACUACGUG
rnacentral:rRNA from 1 species